CACUGUGACUUAAGUGUUUCUCACACACUUGCAGUAUAUAAUUUAUAUAGCUUUUGAACUGCAAUAAGCUCCUCUGCCGAAUUCAUUUAGUAGUUAGAGCAGGAUGACGGUCUCAAUUAAGAAAAAACUCUUGAAAUUUAAAACCGGACAAAGUGAGAACCGCGCCCGAUAUUACAUGCCUUGUUAAUAUCGGGCCACUGUGACACAAUAUUUUUUCUCUCUCUCAAUUGCAAAAAAAUAGCUAUGUAUUUAGCUUGUAAAUUACAAUUAGACGUGCUGCUUUGCCGAAUUCUUUCAGUAUUUAGGGCUAGAUGACAGCCUCAAUUUGGGGGAAAACUGAUGAAAUUUGACACAGGACCAAGUGAGAACCGUAAGAUAUUAGGCCUACAGACCUUAGUAAUAUCGGACCACUAUAUUAUACGUUUUUUCUACCCUGCCGAAUUCGUUGCGCAGUUUAGGCAGAAUGAGAGUGACAGUCUCAGUUUUGAGUGCUAGUUCCGCAGUAAAAUAUUGACGUUAUAUUGCUGGAAUUUAUUUUUGUAAAGUAUGCAUCAAAUUUUAAACAAGUUACAAAUGGUCUUUUAGCCAAGAACGACAACUCAGUAUAAUUGAAAUGUGUGGACUUCAAUGAUGACGUCGGCUAGUUUUGGGUACAAUCAUGACGUUGUCACUUCAGAAAGAUAACAGACGACAUUAUUUUGCUAAAAUGAGCAUUUGUUGUUGUUCUAGGAAGAUGGGGAAGAUCGAACGUCUCAUAGAAGAGUACUAUGCAUCAAAAUCAGCUUAGAAAUACAAAGUUCAUCAGCCAGUAAAUGAACACCUCUGGACAGAAGAAUUGUUAGAGAUUAAGACAAUCAGAAAGCAGAACUACUCGUGCUUGAUGAAUGAAGCAACACAGUUGCUAUGUACUGGUCUUCGUAGAUGUAAGAACCGAGUGGUGUAGGAUAGAACGUCGGACUCCUGGCAUGGAUGUCGCAGGUUUCAGGCUACGAAUCCGGCAAUAUUUAACUACGAUAGUACUGUCCUAAAGUCCUGGAAUAUGUGAUCGAGGUUUAGAACUUCCUAAAAGACGAUGGCAAGGUUGUUCCCAAGCCAUAAGAAUGGGCGAGGCGGUGACUGCACCACAAAAAAAUGAAGAGUCCUUAUUUUAAAAGUGAAAGGUUUAUCGAAUGGACAUGAUAUGAUUGAGACACACUGUGUAAGAAUGAAACACAACUAUGAAAAAAAAAAAUGAAAUUCAAGAGAAGAUUCUGAAAUUUGUCCAUGCAAAUUGAAAUGACAACAAACGCAAUUAACUGCAACUGUCAAUAAAUAUAUAAACAUCUAAUGUUUUAAUUUUAACGUAUAACUUGACUCUUUGAACAGGGACAAUAAUGGUAUACACUUAUUGAUGGCUUGCCGGUGAUUAGUUUUGACUUUUGACCGGCAAGCCAUUCAAUAAGAAUUUUAUUACAUGAAAUCAGAAAUAAAUUUUCUUAAUUAUU
rnacentral:lncRNA from 1 species